rnacentral:misc_RNA from 1 species
UGUGGGAGCGGGCUUGCUCGCGAUACAAACGCCGCGGUUUCCAAUAAAACCCCGGCAAUGCUAUCGCGAGCAAGCCCGCUCCCACA